rnacentral:rRNA from 1 species
GACGAACGCUGGCGGCGUGCUUAACACAUGCAAGUCGAGCGGUAAGGCCCUUUCGGGGGUACGCGAGCGGCGAACGGGUGAGUAACACGUGGGUGACCUGCCCUUAGCUCUGGGAUAAGCCUGGGAAACUGGGUCUAAUACCGGAUAUGACUCCAUGACGCAUGUUGUGGGGUGGAAAGCCUUGUGCGGCUAGGGAUGGGCCCGCGGCCUAUCAGCUUGUUGGUGGGGUGAUGGCCUACCAAGGCGACGACGGUAGCCGGCCUGAGAGGGCGACCGGCCACACUGGGACUGAGACACGGCCCAGGACUCCUACGGGAGGCAGCAGUGGGGAAUCUUGCGCAAUGGGGCGAAGCCUGACGCAGCGACGCCGCGUGAGGGAUGACGGCCU